AUUUUAAUAUAUAUAAUAUAUUGUAAUUUAUUUUAUUCUUGCUAUUAUUUGUUAUAUGAUACUGAAACCUACUUAACCUGUUAUACUCUACAUAGUGAAAAAUAUAGCAAUGGAAAAAUUGACAGUAAUAUUACUUUCUUUUAUGCUGCAGGCUACACGUAUAUCUGGGGCCACUGAUUGUUCCCCGCCAUGGAUGGCUCAAAGUAAUCCAUUUUUCGCAAAGAUUUUAUCAAAAUCAGUCUAUAGAUGUCCGUCGAUUUUUGGAGACUCAAAUAAAGUAUACUGUUGUUACAAUACGGAUGGAGACGUUGUAUGUUGCAAUUUUCAAGAAUAUUUCGUUUUUAGAUUAUUUUGUCUUCUUCCAAUUAUUUUAAUGGUGUUAAUCAUUCUAUCAUUCGUCUGCUGUAUGUGUUGUUAUCUGUGCCCAUUUUGCAUGAUUUAUAAACGCAGAUAAACUAGAAGAUAGCUGAAGACAACCAAGGUGUAUCUCAUUAUCUCAAUAUUGAUGAAAAAAAAAAUUAUGUUUUAUAAAGAGGAAAUAAUACCAUGUUUUUAUUAGCUCUGUAUAUUCUAUUAAUAUUUAUAACUAUAUCUAUAGCAGACAUUUUCAACCUUGGGUUUCCAAACAUUUUUAAGGUCAACAAAUAAUAAUACACAACGUAAAAUAGAUAGUAAGUGUUUUUUU